UGAUGCAAUAGUGUAGUGAUAACAAUAAAUUCACAGUUCAAAUGGGAAUAUAAUAUUGGACAUACCUGAUUUCAUUCUUUCAAUCUAUGCGGCACUUGUAAGGUCAUAGGAUUACAAGCAGCUUUUGGUAUCAUGCUUCAGAAGAUGGAGAACACCUGGAACUGGCGAGAAUUCAAAUGAGAACAGCAAAGAUGAACAAAAGUUUUGUGAAACACAGCCAAGGUGCAAAGCCUGAGAAAAGUGGUUUGCUAAGCUGUUGAAAAAUAGCUUUGUUGGCCAGCUGUAGGAAGCUACUGGUAUUGGUGGCAGGACCCUGAAUUAAAAUCAAGAACUUUAACAGGGGGCUAGGACACAGGUGCCAUAAACCAGCAAAGGACAGCUAACAAAUCCUGGCAAGGUGGACUCCUGAGGUCAACUUCAGGCUCACCUUCUACAACUUCUAGGAGUUUCCUUUGCAGAAAGAUUCAGGGGAGCUAACAAUUACAUAUAUCAGUGGAAAAGCACUGAAUGCUGAUUUCAACACCUGCAGAAAUCUCAACAAAAUUCUUUCUAGAAAAAGAUAAUGUGCAGUGUAUCUGGCAUCCAAGGCCUUUUGACAUCUGUUAUUUGACAGAUGAAUAUAAACUUAAUUAUAGGGCAGAAUUUAAGAGAAUUUAAGAGACCUUGACAAGCCAGGCUUUGCUGAAAUCAGCCCCACCUCAAGGUGACCCAUAGCACAGUGUGAGGCUGCAGUCCCCAGCUUUCUGGUUCCAAACUCUUCAUUUCUGCUCCUCAUUGGUGUCCAAAGAUUCUUGCACACUUCAGUAAGAGGACUGAUUCUACUCAGACUUCUCAGUGCUGCUCCAAAAGACAGAAGGAUCUUUUAAACUCAUAAAAGCCAACACAUAUUAGAAAAUAAAUUAGGAAAAAAAAUAAAGCAAAGCAAAGAGGAAUUGCAAUACAUGGUCUUUACUAAGACAUCAAGACUUCAUAUAAAGAAUUUAUAGACCAGCUCACAUACAAAAUAAGUAGUUAACAAAGCUAUUUCAUAGAAAGUUAUUUAUUUAUACAAUUAUAACUUUAGAAAUACUAAAUGUUCUCAUCAACUCCUAAACCUGUGGUUUGCAGAACGUGAAGGCAAAACCUGUUUCAGUUAGACACAAACAACACCAAAAAAGCUGAGUGGAAUGAAAAGCUUUGGCAGAGGCUGUACUAGCUGCCUAACACGUAGCACGCGGUCAGCUGCCAGCAGGGAGAUGGGGCACUCCUGAGAGUCAUGCGGCGUGUAAACAAGAGCAACGGGAAUUUAUGGAGCAAAUCCAAAUUCUGACAGGGUGUACAGCUCAAUGGGUGUCUGGCUCUGCAGAGCAAUGAAGAAUAUCACUACGUAUAAAAGCAUCGUUACAACCCUUUGUUUAAGAACAGAAAACCUGUAGGACUCUACUUGUAGCAACAGUUGCUAUGCAGCAAUGCAAAAACAAACAAAGAAGCCAAAACCAUAAUCUCAGUCGUCCAGAUAAGAACCUAAUGGACAAACUCAAAAAAUGGCCUUCAGCACUGCGUAUGUUUCAGUUACUAAGCCAUCCCAAAAAUCUUCAGGAUAAUAAUGUGCUUAUAUUAAUUAGAUUGAUUUUUUCCCUUGUUUUUCUUAUAUACGCCGUUUUCCUAGAACAAGAUGGACCCAGAAUCAAUUUUUUAAUGGCCAGUUGUCAGAUGAAUUCUCUCCCUGCUUAGUACUUUGCUUUUCCAUGCCUAACAAUAGCUAGAUGUGGCUCCUCAAGGGACUUCUUUACCACGUAGGGACAACCGGUGACAAGUCUUAACAAAUAUCUGGGGGUAAAUGAAAUUUAACCUGCAUGAGAAUGAUGGCUCCUAAUGAAGGAGAGUUUCCUGUCUCUCUUGGUUUAUAAUUAACAGAGGCCUCUGAGACUUGAUGAUGUCGAUGAGCCUCAAAUAAGCUUCCUCUCUAAGCCACUAAACCUAUCUGAGUGGAAGAUUAGUCUAUUUUCAGGGAAAAAAACAUGUCUUCAAAACUUCCUUUGCUUUAUAUUUACAUCUCACCUUAUAUUAAUAUCUCACUUGAGGAGCAGGUGCUCAACCAACUUUCUACACAAAAAGCCUUACAAUAGUUGCGAUACAUCCAACAACCUGCACCUGGCAACAAGCCAUGCCUAAGCCAGCAUCUGCAGCACCUGCUUGGUGGCCCCCAACUGCGGGAACUCAGCAGGAGUCCACACAUGCAAGUCAGGUGAUUACUGAAGGAGGAGUCUGGGAAAAAGGAGGGACAAUGCAAUCAAGUGACAUGGGAGUAGGGAUAUUAGUCAUAGGUUUGUAAGUAUAAAAACUUUUCCCAUACUUCUGCUAAGUCUUGGAAGUAUCAAGUGGAGUAUGCCUGCCUGGCUUCAGGUACUCAUGCUAAGUUCUGCUCUGAACUCCAGCGACUGCUGAACUGUUGUACCUUUGGUGGGACACCACAUACAAUGUCUAACUUUGUUAACAAUGUGCCUAAAAAGUGAGAUAACAGAAAUUUUUGAGAAAGACCUUUCAUCUCAUUAAGCAUUGGUACAUCUCCAAGAGAAGCUACAGAAGGAUCCUGGGGACAUAAUGCUACACACAGAAGUGUGCCAGUAGUUGUGAGCAAAGGUGACACACACAGGUAGUGCUGACACUGUGGUAAGCUCUGGUAAGGUUUCUUUUCAUUGACCUGAUCCAGUGAUGUGUCACUCAUUUUGGAUCUGAUGAUUCACUGUAAUUGUAAUCAGUGUACUGACUGCGAUUUAUGAACACUUGACCUUUUCCUUUAAAAGCAGUUCUUACUAGAAGCAGCAUUGUAACUGUACACCUGUGUACAUUCAAUACCCAGUCAAAACUUCCAAGAGAACUUCCUGCAAUUUCUGGCACUUCCAUCCAGUGGAGGAAAUGUCUGUUUGAGGGAACAACUGGUGAAAUGAUCUUCCUUACUUACAUACAUUGAUCAACUCUUGGAUCUGUUAUACCUCCACAAAGAAGGAAGAAUAUGUGAUCCUAUGUGAAAGAGAAAAUAAGAAUAGAAAGCCACUCACACGUAACAGCAAGAAACUGGUGGGGA